UACGAAGGGGGCUAGCGUUGUUCGGAUUUACUGGGCGUAAAGCGCACGUAGGCGGCUUGUUAAGUCGGGGGUGAAAUCCUGGAGCUCAACUCCAGAACUGCCCUUCGAUACUGGCGAUCUUGAGUCCGGAAGAGGUGAGUGGAACUCCUAGUGUAGAGGUGGAAUUCGUAGAUAUUAGGAAGAACACCAGUGGCGAAGGCGGCUCACUGGUCCGGUACUGACGCUGAGGUGCGAAAGCGUGGGGAGCAAACAGG
rnacentral:rRNA from 1 species